rnacentral:miRNA from 1 species
GGGAGCAGUGUGUGUGUGUGUGUGUGUGUGUGUGUGUGUGUGUGUGUGUGCGCGCGCGUGCACGCGUGCAUGCGCACACACGUGAACGCGCACAC